UGCUGUGAAACCCGAGGCUCAACCUCGGGCCUGCAGUGGGUACGGGCAGACUAGAGUGCGGUAGGGGAGAUUGGAAUUCCUGGUGUAGCGGUGGAAUGCGCAGAUAUCAGGAGGAACACCGAUGGCGAAGGCAGAUCUCUGGGCCGAACUGACGCUGAGGAGCGAAAGGGUGGGGAGCAAACAGGCUUAGAUACCCUGGUAGUCCACCCCGUAAACGUUGGGAACUAGUUGUGGGGCCGUGACGCAGCUAACGCAUUAAGUUCCCCGCCUGGGGAGUACGGCCGCAAGGCUAAAACUCAAAGGAAUUGACGGGGACCCGCACAAGCGGCGGAGCAUGCGGAUUAAUUCGAUGCAACGCGAAGAACCUUACCAAGGCUUGACAUACAGGUGGUGCAUGGCUGUCGUCAGCUCGUGUCGUGAGAUGUUGGGUUAAGUCCCGCAACGAGCGCAACCCUCGUUCUAUGUUGUAACUCAUGGGAUACUGCCGGGGUCAACUCGGAGGAAGGUGGGGAUGACGUCAAAUCAUCAUGCCCUUGUGUCUUGGGCUUCACGCAUGCUACAAUGGCCGGUACAAAGGGCUGCAAUACCGCGAGGUGGAGCGAAUCCCAAAAAGCCGGUCCCAAUUCGGAUUGAGGUCUGCAACUCGACUUCAUGAAGUCGGAGUCGCUAGUAAUCGCAGAUCAGCACGCUGCGGUGAAUACGUUCCCGGGUCUUGCACACACCGCCCGUC
rnacentral:rRNA from 1 species